GAAGGGUUCAGCUCAGUGGUAGAGUGCAUGCUUAGCAUGCAUAAGGUCCCAGGUUCAAUCCCCAGUCCCUCCA
rnacentral:tRNA from 1 species